rnacentral:miRNA from 1 species
CAGCAGACACAUUCCAGCCAAUCAGCAGCAGACCCUCCCUCACAGACCCUCCCACCUCUUGGACAGCAUCCAUUUUGAAGCUGCAUUCUUAGUGAGCUGUCCAGGAGGUGGGAGGGUCUGGGAGAGAGGGUCUGCUGCUGAUUGGCUGGAAUGUGUCUGCU